rnacentral:rRNA from 1 species
UACGGAGGAUGCAAGCGUUAUCCGGAAUGAUUGGGCGUAAAGCGUCCGCAGGUGGCUAUGUAAGUCUGCUGUUAAAGAGUCUAGCUCAACUAGAUAAGAGCAGUGGAAACUACAUGGCUAGAGUGCGUUCGGGGCAGAGGGAAUUCCUGGUGUAGCGGUGAAAUGCGUAGAGAUCGUAAGGAAGACCAGUGGCGAAGGCGGGUCUCUGGACAGUUCCUGACACUGAGGCACGAAGGCCAGGGGAGCAAACGGG